GUCGAACGAGCUCUCCCAAAUUGAUUUUAUGCUUGCAUAAAUGAUUUUUGGAUUCGGAGCGAGUGGCGAACUGGUGAGUAACACGUGGGUAACCUGCCCCGAAGCGGGGGAUAACAUUUGGAAACAAAUGCUAAUACCGCAUAAUUAGUUGGAACCGCAUGGUUCCAAUUUGAAAGAUGGCUCUGCUAUCACUUUGGGAUGGACCCGCGCCGUAUUAGUUAGUUGGUGAGAUAAAAGCCCACCAAGACGAUGAUACGUAGCCGACCUGAGAGGGUAAUCGGCCACAUUGGGACUGAGACACGGCCCAGACUCCUACGGGAGGCAGCAGUAGGGAAUCUUCCACAAUGGACGAAAGUCUGAUGGAGCAACGCCGCGUGAGUGAUGAAGGGUUUCGGCUCGUAAAACUCUGUUGUUAAAGAAGAACAAGUGUUAGAGUAACUGUUAACACUUUGACGGUAUUUAACCAGAAAGCCACGGCUAACUACGUGCCAGCAGCCGCGGUAAUACGUAGGUGGCAAGCGUUGUCCGGAUUUAUUGGGCGUAAAGCGAGCGCAGGCGGUUUUGUAAGUCUGCUGUGAAAGCCCUCAGCUCAACUGAGGAAGUGCAGUGGAAACUACAAAACUUGAGUACAGAAGAGGAAAGUGGAACUCCAUGUGUAGCGGUGAAAUGCGUAGAUAUAUGGAAGAACACCAGUGGCGAAGGCGGCUUUCUGGUCUGUUACUGACGCUGAGGCUCGAAAGCAUGGGUAGCGAACAGGAUUAGAUACCCUGGUAGUCCAUGCCGUAAACGAUGAAUACUAGGUGUUGGGAGGGUUUCCGCCCUUCAGUGCCGCAGCUAACGCAUUAAGUAUUCCGCCUGGGGAGUACGACCGCAAGGUUGAAACUCAAAGGAAUUGACGGGGGCCCGCACAAGUGGUGGAGCAUGUGGUUUAAUUCGAUGCUACGCGAAGAACCUUACCAGCUCUUGACAUCUUCUGCCAACCCAAGAGAUUGGGCGUUCCCUUCGGGGACAGAAUGACAGGUGGUGCAUGGUUGUCGUCAGCUCGUGUCGUGAGAUGUUGGGUUAAGUCCCGCAACGAGCGCAACCCUUAUUAUUAGUUGCCAGCAUUUAGUUGGGCACUCUAGUGAGACUGCCGGUGAUAAACCGGAGGAAGGUGGGGACGACGUCAAAUCAUCAUGCCCCUUAUGAGCUGGGCUACACACGUGCUACAAUGGAUGGUACAACGAGUCGCGAAACCGCGAGGUCAAGCUAAUCUCUUAAAGCCAUUCUCAGUUCGGAUUGCAGGCUGCAACUCGCCUGCAUGAAGUUGGAAUCACUAGUAAUCGUGGAUCAGCAUGCCACGGUGAAUACGUUCCCGGGCCUUGUACACACCGCCCGUCACACCAUGAGAGUUUGUAACACCCAAAGACGAUGGGGUAACCUUUUAGGAGCUAGUCGUCUAAGGUGGGACAGAUGAUUAGGGUGAAGU
rnacentral:rRNA from 1 species